rnacentral:ncRNA from 1 species
AUAAAAUCAAUGAUAAAGAGAGUAAAUCAGAGUGUUUUUCUCAAAGCGAGUUGGGGUAGAGUGGAAGCCCAUCAGAAAAUGCUGGUUGAACCGCACUUUAUCGGAUGAAGAGGUGAACCAUGCAGUAGCUUCUUCCGCAGAUCUGGCGUUAACAAAAUGAGGUGGAUAUGUCUAUGAGCAUGUCAACUAGAGUGGUACCGCGGAUUAAUAUACCUUUAACCCGUCUCUUGC